rfam:Picoides pubescens contig65053, whole genome shotgun sequence.
ACAGCUUUGGACAAAAGUCUAUAGCCAGUGCAUUCGUAACUCCCCAUGCACAAGAGCUGACUGAGGCUCUGGGAAGACAUUUUACUCAUUUGAUUUCUUUUUUUCUUGUAGCCUUCUUGUCCAGUUCUCAGGUGUUUGCCACCUAUUAGAAUUUCACCUGUAUGGGUCCUGUGUUUGAGACAGUCCCAGGACUUGUCAGCUGUAUAGGCCUCAUAAAAGACAGCUCU